rnacentral:rRNA from 1 species
GCCCGCACAAGCGGUGGAGCAUGUGGUUUAAUUCGAUGCAACGCGAAGAACCUUACCUACUCUUGACAUCCAGAGAACUUAGCAGAGAUGCUUUGGUGCCUUCGGGAACUCUGAGACAGGUGCUGCAUGGCUGUCGUCAGCUCGUGUUGUGAAAUGUUGGGUUAAGUCCCGCAACGAGCGCAACCCUUAUCCUUUGUUGCCAGCGGUUCGGUCGGGAACUCAAAGGAGACUGCCAGUGAUAAACUGGAGGAAGGUGGGGAUGACGUCAAGUCAUCAUGGCCCUUACGAGUAGGGCUACACACGUGCUACAAUGGCAUAUACAAAGAGAAGCGACCUCGCGAGAGCAAGCGGACCUCAUAAAGUAUGUCGUAGUCCGGAUUGGAGUCUGCAACUCGACUCCAUGAAGUCGGAAUCGCUAGUAAUCGUGGAUCAGAAUGCCACGGUGAAUACGUUCCCGGGCCUUGUACACACCGCCCGUCACACCAUGGGAGUGGGUUGCAAAAGAAGUAGGUAGCUUAACCUUCGGGAGGGCGCUA